AAUGAGAAAUUAAACCAACGAUGUUAAAAUUGCCCAAACCUAUUCCUGCCUCAAAUUUCCUCACCCAAUCUCUGGUUAAAAAUUUUUCGUUUACAGAAUAGGUCAUGUUCCCGCUUCCCCCAAACCAGUUCUCGCUUCCCAGAUCUAAGGUCUCUUAAACAUCUAGGUUCUUGGCGAUCCAACAACCCCUCGAUUUGUAGUAGGUUUGAAGAUGCACACCAAGUGCUUGAUGAAAUGCUGCAGACAAACUCACUAUUGUUUCACAUGAUUCUUUACAAGAUAAGUGGAUAUCUGGUUUAGUUUUAAAUGUGUUGGUGUAAUGGAAUUGUGUGUUAUUGAGUUGUAGCUUAUUAAUAUUUAGUUUUCAAUCUAGUAUGAUUAUUGUCCAUGGAAGUUUUAGGAUAUUGAAAAAACUUAAAUGUUCAUGAAUAGUCGGUCGAUAAUUUUUUUUUUACCUUAUUAAGUAAUUAUGUUCUUACUUUAGUUCUUUCUUUUUUAUUAUUAAAAACACAUGCAUACACUUUUAUGUUGUACAUAUAUGACUAAAAUGUGUUCUUUAAUAAAUUUGAAUCUUGUUAUUAUCUUUUUUUUGAAAGGUGUGAAUUAUUCGCAAAUGUCGGGAGGUCUAGCAUACGUUGUCUUAACCAGGUCCGCGCUAGAGAGCCCCCUCGCACAAUAGAUCCCAAUUUAAACCCCUCAAUGAGAAACCCCUAUCACCCAGACUCGAACUUGAGACCUGGAGAGAAAAACUCACCCGAGCCCACCAUAGGUGAAACUUAAAUACCCGUGGCCACCAUUAGAGCACUAGUGAUGGUUAAUCUUGUUAUUAUCUAAUGUCUAAAAGAUGAGAGGUUUUUAUGCUGGCUAUGGGAGUUUCGAUUAUGCCAUUAAUGCUCAUGAUAAGCAAGAGUUUAUAUGCACAUCUGUACUAUCAGACUUGAGAAUCGAUUAGCCGUGAUAGAGAAGAUUGCUAAGAAAUCUGUGAAAUCUGCUAAUCUAAACGUUGCAAGACUUGUUGAUUUACAAAAUGUAAGCAUUCAAUGAAAGAUGAUACAAUGAAGGUGAAGUUUCAACAUGAAUAAAGUCCCAUAAAACAUGAAGCAUAGAACAGAAUCCUACACAAUGACGGAUAAGCCAAUAGAUAUACAAUAAUU
rnacentral:lncRNA from 1 species